rnacentral:lncRNA from 1 species
CAGUAAGCCAUGCCUCAGAAGCACUGCGGUUUCAAAAAUUAUUCCAAGUUAGGCACGGCUACAAGUAAAAUAUGCUGCUGGCUGUGAAAUAAUGAGAGGGAUAAUAAAUAUACAAAACUUGGAAUCUCCUGAUGCAAAAUGAAAGAGAUUUCAUAAACCCAAGCAGUCAAACUCGGAUGAAAAACCCCUGGUGUGCUCACCAUGACUAAUGCCCUGGCCUUCCAUGUGAGAAGUUCAGAUUCAAUUUCCUCUUCUGAUAUCUUGCUCUGGAGGUGGCUACGAUGGGGAUCAUUACUGGGACAGCGAGUUCAUCUGGAGGUGUGCUGCCAACCUCCAGGAUUUAUGAAGCGUGGUUACAGAAAGUGGAGAAGAAACAUGAAAUUGUCUUCAUUUAACAUUAAUUCAUUCAAUAUUCAUUGAGCAUCCAUGUAAUACAGGAAUAGUACUAGAGAUAACACUGUGACUAUCUCAUCUAUGAAGGGAAAUACCCACUAGCCAGUUCACUCAUCAGUUUUUCUAAAGGACCAUGGAAGUUUGAUCAUCAGUGAAUGUAUGGAUUAAGUCUGUAAGUUGGCAAGAUGUUUCUUUGACUUGGGAUGCUAUUUAUUAUAAAAUUCACCAUUAUUUUAUAUACUACUAAGAAAAAAAUGCUGUCUUUUAAACUAUUAUGCUGAUUUCCCAUCACUUACAAUUUUUACUUUACACUUACUGAAAGGGCUUUUAUGCUGCUAGAUCUCUGCAGUGGCUCCCUUAGCACUUACCGUCUAAUUGAAAGCAUCUUAAAGAAAGAUCGGCCUUUGUUAGCAUUUCUUAUUUGACUAGACUUGGUUUUGUAUUUUUACCACUGAAGUCACAUAACACUGUCACACCAGCUUUUCCUCACUACAUAAAAUUUCUUUUCUCUAGUCUCAGAGAUUAAAAAAAUUUCCCUACAAACCAUACUGCCAUGUGAUAAUAUUUUUGUGCUUAUCCCAGGAAUAAAAUGUAGUAUGGCUUCA